rnacentral:rRNA from 1 species
GUAUCCAGCUCCAAUAGCGUAUAUUAAAGUUGUUGCAGUUAAAAAGCUCGUAGUUGAACCUUGGGUCUGGCUGGCAGGUCCGCCUCACCGCGUGUACUUGUCCGGCCGGGCCUUCCUUCUGGAGAACCUCAUGCCCUUCACUGGGCGUGUUGGGGACCAGGACUUUUACUUUGAAAAAAUUAGAGUGUUCAAAGCAGGCCUUUGCUCGAAUACGUUAGCAUGGAAUAAUAGAAUAGGACGUGCGGUCCUAUUUUGUUGGUUUCUAGGACCGCCGUAAUGAUUAAUAGGGACAGUCGGGGGCAUCAGUAUUCAAUUGUCAGAGGUGAAAUUCUUGGAUUUAUUGAAGACUAACUACUGCGAAAGCAUUUGCCAAGGAUGUUUUCAUUAAUCAGUGAACGAAAGUUAGGGGAUCGAAGACGAUCAGAUACCGUCGUAGUCUUAACCGUAAACUAUGCCGACUAGGGAUCGGGCGAUGUUCUUUUUCUGACUCGCUCGGCACCUUACGAGAAAUCAAAGUUUUUGGGUUCUGGGGGGAGUAUGGUCGCAAGGCUGAAACUUAAAGAAAUUGACGGAAGGGCACCACCAGGCGUGGAGCCUGCGGCUUAUU